GUGGGGAAUCUUCCGCAAUGGACGAAAGUCUGACGGAGCGACGCCGCGUGAGUGAAGAAGGCCUUCGGGUCGUAAAGCUCUGUCAUCAGGGACGAACGGCCGGUGGAGUGGAAAGCCACCGGAUUGACGGUACCUGAGAAGGAAGCCACGGCUAACUACGUGCCAGCAGCCGCGGUAAUACGUAGGUGGCAAGCGUUGUCCGGAUUUAUUGGGCGUAAAGCGCGCGCAGGUGGGAUCUUAAGUCCAUUUUUAAAGUUCGGAGCUCAACUCCGUGAUGGGAUGGAAACUGGGAUUCUUGAGUACCGGAGAGGAAAGCGGAAUUCCCCGUGUAGCGGUGAAAUGCGUAGAUAUGGGGAGGAACACCAGUGGCGAAGGCGGCUUUCUGGACGGUGUCUGACACUGAGGCGCGAAAGCCAGGGGAGCGAACGGGAUUAGAAACCCCUGUAGUCC
rnacentral:rRNA from 1 species